rnacentral:rRNA from 1 species
GACGAACGCUGGCGGCGUGCUUAACACAUGCAAGUCGAACGCUGAAGCUCAGCUUUUGUUGGGUGGAUGAGUGGCGAACGGGUGAGUAACACGUGAGUAACCUGCCCUCUUCUUUGGGAUAACGCCCGGAAACGGGUGCUAAUACUGGAUAUUCACUGAUCUUCGCAUGGGGGUUGGUGGAAAGGUUUGUUCUGGUGGGGGAUGGGCUCGCGGCCUAUCAGCUUGUUGGUGGGGUGAUGGCCUACCAAGGCUUUGACGGGUAGCCGGCCUGAGAGGGUGACCGGUCACAUUGGGACUGAGAUACGGCCCAGACUCCUACGGGAGGCAGCAGUGGGGAAUAUUGCACAAUGGGCGGAAGCCUGAUGCAGCGACGCCGCGUGAGGGAUGGAGGCCUUCGGGUUGUAAACCUCUUUCGCUCAUGGUCAAGCCGCAACUGUGGGUUGUGGUGAGGGUAGUGGGUAAAGAAGCGCCGGCUAACUACGUGCCAGCAGCCGCGGUAAUACGUAGGGCGCGAGCGUUGUCCGGAAUUAUUGGGGCGUAAAGGGCUUUGUAGGCGGUUGGUCGCGUCUGCCGUGAAAUUCUCUGGGUUUAACUGGGGGGCGUGCGGUGGGUUACGGGGCUGACUUGAGUGCGGUAGGGGGAGACUGGAACUCCUGUUGUAUCGGUGGAAUGCUCAGAUAUCACGAAGAACACCGGUGGCGAAGGCGGGCCUCUGGGCCGUUACUGACGCUCGAGGAGCGAAAGCAUGGGGAGCGAACAGA